rnacentral:misc_RNA from 1 species
UACGGGGGGGGCAAGCGUUGUUCGGAAUUACUGGGCGUAAAGGGCUCGUAGGCGGCUGCUUAAGUCGGACGUGAAAUCCCUCGGCUCAACCGAGGAACUGCGUCCGAUACUGAGCAGCUUGAAUCCGGGAGAGGGAUGCGGAAUUCCAGGUGUAGCGGUGAAAUGCGUAGAUAUCUGGAGGAACACCGGUGGCGAAGGCGGCAUCCUGGACCGGCAUUGACGCUGAGGAGCGAAAGCCAGGGGAGCAAACGGG